AUUCCCUAGUAGCGGCGAGCGAAGCGGGAAGAGCUCAAAUUUAUAAUCUGGCACCUUCGGUGUCCGAGUUGUAAUCUCUAGAAAUGUUUUCCGCGUUGGACCGCACACAAGUCUGUUGGAAUACAGCGGCAUAGUGGUGAGACCCCCGUAUAUGGUGCGGACGCCCAGCGCUUUGUGAUACAUUUUCGAAGAGUCGAGUUGUUUGGGAAUGCAGCUCAAAUUGGGUGGUAAAUUCCAUCUAAAGCUAAAUAUUGGCGAGAGACCGAUAGCGAACAAGUACCGUGAGGGAAAGAUGAAAAGCACUUUGGAAAGAGAGUUAACAGUACGUGAAAUUGUUGGAAGGGAAACGCUUGAAGUCAGACUUGCUUGCUGAGCAAUCGGUUUGCAGGCCAGCAUCAGUUUUCCGGGAUGGAUAAUGGUAGAGAGAAGGUAGCAGUUUCGGCUGUGUUAUAGCUCUCUGCUGGAUACAUCUUGGGGGACUGAGGAACGCAGUGUGCCUUUGGCGGGGGUUUCGACCUCUUCACACUUAGGAUGCUGGUGGAAUGGCUUUAAACGACCCGUCUUGAACCACGGACCA
rnacentral:rRNA from 1 species